rnacentral:rRNA from 1 species
AACGAUCGCUGGCGGCAUCCCUAACACAUGCAAGUCGAACGAGACCUUCGGGUCUAGUGGCGCACGGGUGCGUAACGCGUGGGAACCUGCCCUUAGGUUCGGAAUAACUCCCCGAAAGGGGUGCUAAUACCGGAUAAUGUCUUCGGACCAAAGAUUUAUCGCCUUUGGAUGGGCCCGCGUUGGAUUAGCUAGUUGGUAGGGUAAAAGCCUACCAAGGCGACGAUCCAUAGCUGGUCUGAGAGGAUGAUCAGCCACACUGGGACUGAGACACGGCCCAGACUCCUACGGGAGGCAGCAGUGGGGAAUAUUGGACAAUGGGCGAAAGCCUGAUCCAGCAAUGCCGCGUGAGUGAUGAAGGCCUUAGGGUUGUAAAGCUCUUUUACCCGGGAUGAUAAUGACAGUACCGGGAGAAUAAGCUCCGGCUAACUCCGUG